UUGUAAAGCAAAAAAAAGUAAUAAAUAUACUCACGGUUUUCCACUUACACCAGGGACAGACGCUUUAUUGCGCGAUAGUUAGUUUUCUAUUUUACGAAUACCAUGCUUUUAUCCAUAUAAACACACAAUUCCGAAAGAUUUGGAGCAAAACAAGUUCAUGUUAGGCAGGAAUUUGUUCAAAAAUAAGUAAGCGCAGUAUAACUAAUUUUUAAUGACCGGACAAUAACAAUAAUAUGACCCACGACUCAGCAGUAUCUGAAAAAAAAAAAAAAGUAAAAUUACUACGGCAUUUAUAAACAGUAAAGGUUUAACUUACAAUUUCAUAAACCCAAAGGAGUACGUAGUGGUUGGAGGGCUGAAUAAAAUCAUUGAAUACACCAUACACCAUUCAAUGAUGGUUGGUGUAGCCCAAAUGGGGAUUUUACCCAAAAAUUAAAAAGGAAUCACCACAGCUCACUCACGGCCAAACAAUAACCACACAAGUUUGGUAGAACGUACGCAUUUCACUUUCUGCACACUACAAAUUCUGCCAAAUGACACUGAAGAAAUCCAUGUUGAGGAACUUUACUCAUAUCCCAGUCGAACCGAGUAACCUAAAAAAAUAUGCAUUAAUAUAGGGGUAGAUAUAAAUAAAAAUAUAUAAAUUAUACUCACAGUCUCCUUAAAUAUUGUUCGGGUGCUUCAAAUCAAAAAAAUUCUCCAAAUAAUUCAGGUGUAAUCUGGAAUUUUUCAAUUAUGUCGGCAAACACGUCUGUAUGAAUAAAGAAGAGAAAUAAAAACAGUCUUCUUCUUAUUUCCAUUCAUCAACAUUUCAUUCAGCGUGAAUGGAUAACAUUGUAGAAACUAAGGUUGCCACCUUGCUAUAUACGCAUAAACGUAUGGGGCGACGGGUCGUACCAUAACGCAUACAUGUAUAUGUGUGCAUACAUUAAAAAAAUGACGCCACACAAAGUACCGUUGAACAAAUCUCACGGUUCCAAAAGGGUAUGCUUACCAUUGAAGUUCCAGAAAUGCCCGGCCAUGAGACUUCAGGGCUGUGGGAGUUCCCCACGUGGAAUAAUAAAACCUUCCGCACAUCGACCUUUGCAAAAUUAACUCAGCAAAGGGUCGAAGUUUUGUUGCGUCGGGUGGGCCAUCAGGGGGCGUGUAGGCUACAUGGCUUACCUGGAAAAUUCAAUGUAAAUAGUUUUUACAUUGUUUUUAAAAUAUGCCAUUUGUUUACUUACCCCAGUAGCUAUUUCUUUGAAAAGAGAAAUAGCUCAGAGACCCGAUUCAGAAAAAUAAAAUUUUAAAGUUAGAUGCUGUUGCGCAUCAGGCGAAAUGAAAAAGAAAAUGACAAGAAGGAAAUGGAUGGCGUUGCCAUUAUAAAAGAAUAGGGAUCGUUCAAUCGUUAUUUGGCUACGGAUUUAUACAACCAUGGCUGAGUAGCCAUUUCGUAGCUACCCUAUCGCCAUCAAUAAGGUCCAUAAUAAAUAUUGGAAAUUUGAGGAAAAAUGGUGGCAAAAUGAAGCGACUAUAAAAAGGAGGAAAAUAGGAAAAUUGGCAACAUAGUGUUGCAAAAGAUCUAAGCAAGAAGACGGUCCAAAGUAGUUUUUAACACUAAAAAAAAAAGUGAAUAUUUAUAUGUGUGUUUACUUGUUAACAAAAAGUUCCCCAAAAUCACAAUAUUUUUUUUGGUCUCCACUGACUGCUGAGUGGGGAUCUGGUGUUAAAUGCCCGGUCCUUGGGUUUAAAUUGGCCGUUGAAUUUGAAGGUCUCCCUGUUUGGUGUCAUACUUCUGUUUGGUGUCCGUAUCUGAGGCAGCGGAAUUUGGGUCAAAAUUGAUCGGAUGGCCACAAGUUGGAGAUUUUUUUUUGAUCGCAAGUUGUCAUCUCCUAUGGCAUAAAAAUUAAUAUUUUGCCACGUAAUUAAUGACCAGGUAAUAGACACCCUUUUUCUUUAUCCAUGUUUUGGAGCACGGAAGAAUAUCCAGGGAAUUGCAACUAAAAAAGAAAGAGAAAUCGAAAAAUUAAGAAAAUUUAUUUGAAAAAAAAUCAUAAUAAUAAAAAAAAAAAAAAACAAAAAAAAAAUUAAUUUAAGUAACGAUAGGAAAAUAUUGAUAGACAUGCAAAUUAUUUUAAUAUAAACAUAUUGCAAAUUUAAUUGAAUAGUAUAAGUAUGUGUUGUGAUGUCCUCUCUUAAUGUUUUAAUGUAAGGAUGUUUAACGCCAGUUUCCUUUAAAUUUCACCCAGUACUAUAUGAGCAAUAUCCAGGGAAAGCUAGAGGGUGUAGUCGUAUGUUUCAAUUCGAGCCAAUUUUGGCUAGUGAGGCCGUUGUAAGAGAGCUCCUUUACAGUAGGUAAUAUUUUGUUUAGAAUUUGAGGUCUGAAAAGUGCAGACAAAAUUCCCUAGGUUUCUCACAAGGAAAAUUUGCUAUUUUUCAUAUGUUUACAAUUUUUUUUUAAUCUGGUGUUAGAUUGUCCGUUUUAAAGAUCGACAAAAUUUAUCUGUAUUUAGCUGUAAGUCCUUUCUGUCAAUAAAUAAUGUUGUGAUUAGAAUUAGACUAAAAAUAAA